rnacentral:rRNA from 1 species
UACGUAGGGUGCAAGCGUUAAUCGGAAUUACUGGGCGUAAAGCGUGCGCAGGCGGUUUUGUAAGUCGGACGUGAAAUCCCUCGGCUCAACCGAGGAACUGCGUCCGAUACUGGCAGGCUGGAGUAUGGUAGAGGAAGGUGGAAUUCCCGGUGUAGCAGUGAAAUGCGUAGAGAUCGGGAGGAACACCAGUGGCGAAGGCGGCCUUCUGGACCAAUACUGACGCUCAUGCACGAAAGCGUGGGGAGCAAACAGG